GGAGAGGAGUCGAAGUAGGUGAGAACCUACAGUGAGGGAGAGUUCUAGACCAUUGUGAGGCUGCCUGGCCCCGACCCCAACCCCCGAGGCCCUGCCCAGACCCACAGAGUCCAUCUCUUCCACCCUGGCUCUUCUUCGCUCAGAUCCAGGGAAAAUAAACUAACACGUAACAAACUAAUAAGCACUGUUCCUGCAUCACGUCCUGCAGUCCUUCACAGCAGCCCUUCAAGAUAGGUAUUAUUGUUAGUGCCACUUCAUCAAAGAGGAAUCUGAAAUUCAGGAAAGCUGAAGGGGGCCGGGCAUGGAAAUCGCUUGAACCUGAGAGGUGGAGGUUGCAGUAAGCUGAGAUCUCACCACUGCAUUCCAGACUGGGUGACAAGAGCGAAACUUCGACUCUAGCUGGGCAUAGUGCCACAUGCCUGUAGUCCCAGCUACUUAGGAGGCUGAAGUGGGAGGAUCACUUGAGCCCAGGAGUUGAAGACUGCAGUGAUCUAUGAUCACACCACUGCACUCCAGCCUGUGCAACAUAGCAAGGCCCCAUCUCUACAAAAAUAAAGAAAAUUAGCUGAACGUGGUGGCGCACACCUAUAGUUCAGGGAGGCCAAGGCGGGAGGAUCACUUGAGCCAGGAACGUGGAGGCUGCAGGGAGCUGUGAUUGUGCCACUGCACUCUGGGCAUCAGAGCAAUACCCUGUCUCAAAAAAAGAAAGGAGAAAUGAAAAAAAAAAAAAGAAAAACCAAAGAAGUUGCCCAAGGUUAUGAACCUAGGGAAACCU
rnacentral:lncRNA from 10 species